rnacentral:rRNA from 1 species
UCUUCCCUCUGGCGGCGUGCCUAAUACAUGCAAGUCGAGCGAACAGACGAGGAGCUUGCUCCUCUGACGUUAGCGGCGGACGGGUGAGUAACACGUGGAUAACCUACCUAUAAGACUGGGAUAACUUCGGGAAACCGGAGCUAAUACCGGAUAAUAUAUUGAACCGCAUGGUUCAAUAGUGAAAGACGGUUUUGCUGUCACUUAUAGAUGGAUCCGCGCCGCAUUAGCUAGUUGGUAAGGUAACGGCUUACCAAGGCAACGAUGCGUAGCCGACCUGAGAGGGUGAUCGGCCACACUGGAACUGAGACACGGUCCAGACUCCUACGGGAGACAGCAGUAGGGAAUCUUCCGCAAUGGGCGAAAGCCUGACGGAGCAACGCCGCGUGAGUGAUGAAGGUCUUCGGAUCGUAAAACUCUGUUAUUAGGGAAGAACAAAUGUGUAAGUAACUAUGCACGUCUUGACGGUACCUAAUCAGAAAGCCACGGCUAACUACGUG